UACGGAGGAUCCGAGCGUUAUCCGGAUUCAUUGGGUUUAAAGGGUGCGUAGGUUGUUUUAUAAGUCAGCGGUAAAAUUUCGGGGCUCAACCCCGGCCUGCCGUUGAAACUGGCGGCCUCGAGUGGGCGAGAAGUAUGCGGAAUGCGUGGUGUAGCGGUGAAAUGCAUAGAUAUCACGCAGAACUCCGAUUGCGAAGGCAGCAUACCGGCGCCCAACUGACGCUGAGGCACGAAAGCGUGGGUAUCGAACAGG
rnacentral:rRNA from 1 species